UUGAGAAUGAUCUUUAAUGUCCAACAUCAACCUUCUUGGGCAAGACCUGAGGAGGAUGAGUGAUUAUAUAAACACUGAGCUGUGUCCAACAGACCUGCUUAUGAGUGUUGUUUGGGAGGGGGAGGGGUGUCUUAAGGUCAAACAGGAGAUGGCAAGACACCAGGUGGUUAGGCUGAGUGGUGCUGGGCCAGGAAAAAAGAAAAGGGAAUAAAUAUUGUAGUUGGAUAUUAGAGAUGCAGCUAAAUCAAGGCCACAACCCUGUUGAAUUUAUUAAAAGGGAGGCUAGAUGAUCAGGAGGUAUAUCAACAAAAGUUAGAAAAAGAUUGGUUAGGGCUCAUAGUGUGGAAUAAGGUCAGUUUAGGGGUAAAUCUUAUAUCUUAGCCACUUUAGUGCCUUUUACUGGGGACUUGGCACCCUCAUACUGGGUGGGGCAAGAGAUAGCUGCUUUAGGUCAUAAGCACCUUUUUAGAGAGUAGGUCAUUUUCUUCCAGGAGCAGUACCACAAUCAUGCAUUUGUAACUCACAACAGUAAAAAUAAUUUGAGCAUUAUGAGAAAAGGUAGAAAAGAUCCUAAUGCUUCAUGUAAAAACCUUUAAAUCCUCAUUUCAUUAAAAAUUCCUCUCUGCAGCUAGUAGCAGAGAAUACCAUGAUUCACCAUCUGAGCAGAUUAAUG
rnacentral:lncRNA from 1 species